rnacentral:rRNA from 1 species
UACGAGGGGGGCGAGCGUUGUUCGGAAUUAUUGGGCGUAAAGGGCGCGUAGGCGGUCGGAUAAGUCUUGUGUGAAAUCUUCGGGCUCAACUCGAAGUCUGCACAGGAAACUAUCUGGCUUGAGUGUGGGAGAGGUGAGUGGAAUUCCUGGUGUAGCGGUGAAAUGCGUAGAUAUCAGGAGGAACACCUGUGGCGAAAGCGGCUCACUGGACCACAACUGACGCUGAGGCGCGAAGGCUAGGGGAGCAAACAGG